AAACAGAAACUUGGACUAACUAAUUAACAAAGUCUCAUAAUAAAUUAGUGGCUACUUUGAGUAGCUUAUGUACGUACUUCUCCACAUGAACGACUACAACAAUUCCAUCUGAGUAGGUCAGUCCAAAACCAGCCAAUGCCUUCUGAUCUACCAUUUCUAACAAAGCUUAUCAAGCGGCGUACAAGUUCUUAACUGCGAAUGCAGCGGAAUAAAUAAUGAGUAAGAAGAGUCAAUCCACGUGACGAUGGUUGCUGGCUCCAAAAGAAGAGGGCUUACUAUUAUUGCCUCUGUCAUUGUUUCCAUAGUGACUCGAAGAAAUCUUUUGCCUUGGAAACACAAAAAGCAAUUAUGGCAGCAAAAGGAGGAUUUGAAGAAACAUUUACCUGAGAUUGGUGAGUUGUUGGGUCAAUUCGUUAAUCUCAAUGGCAGAGAGUUUGGGGUGAAUGACCGUACUAGGUAACUCGGAAAGAAAAAUUCUGAAAUGGGAUAACAAUCCGAUUAAUUACGAAGAGGGGGUGGAUGUCAAUGGUCAGCGCUUGGCACGCUAUUUAUAUUAGCAUCCUAAGUUGGGAUACUAUUUUGAAUAGCAUCCUGAUGCGGUCGCACGCCACCCUUGCAGGCACCUGCAGGGUGCAGAUGGAAUAUUACGUCGCUAGAGAUGGGACACUACGUAGCAGGGUGCGGGACGCUAGUUUUAUUAGCGUCCUG
rnacentral:misc_RNA from 1 species